rnacentral:rRNA from 1 species
AUUGAACGCUGGCGGCAGGCUUAACACAUGCAAGUCGAGCGGGGGAAGGUAGCUUGCUACCGGACCUAGCGGCGGACGGGUGAGUAAUGCUUAGGAAUCUGCCUAUUAGUGGGGGACAACAUCUCGAAAGGGAUGCUAAUACCGCAUACGUCCUACGGGAGAAAGCAGGGGAUCUUCGGACCUUGCGCUAAUAGAUGAGCCUAAGUCGGAUUAGCUAGUUGGUGGGGUAAAGGCCUACCAAGGCGACGAUCUGUAGCGGGUCUGAGAGGAUGAUCCGCCACACUGGGACUGAGACACAGCCCAGACUCCUACGGGAGGCAGCAGUGGGGAAUAUUGGACAAUGGGGGGAACCCUGAUCCAGCCAUGCCGCGUGUGUGAAGAAGGCCUUAUGGUUGUAAAGCACUUUAAGCGAGGAGGAGGCUACUUUAGUCAAUACCUAGAGAUAGUGGACGUUACUCGCAGAAUAAGCACCGGCUAACUCUGUGCCAGCAGCCGCCGUAA